rnacentral:rRNA from 1 species
GGCGGACGGGUCAGUAAUGCAUAGGAAUCUGCCCGCUAGUGGGGGAUAACGUGCGGAAACCCACGCUAAUACCGCAUAGGUCCUACGGGAGAAAGCGGAGGCUCUUCGGACUUCGCGCUAUCGGAUGAGCCUUUGUCGGAUUAGCUGGUUGGUAACGUAACGGCUUACCAAGGCGACGCAUCCGUAGCUGGUCUCAGAGGAUGAUCAGCCACACUGGGACUCAGACACGGACCUGACUCCUACGGGAGGCAGCAGUGGGCAAUAUUGGACAAUGGGCGAAAGCCUGAUCCAGCCAUGCCGCGUGUGUGAAGAAGGCUUUCGGGUUGUAAAGCACUUUCAGCGAGGAUGAAAGCCUCUGGGUUAAUACCCCAGAGGAAGGACAUCACUCGCAGAAGAAGCACCGGCUAACUCCGUGCCAGCAUCCGCGGUAAUACGGAGGGUCCGAGCGUUAAUCGCAAUUAUUCGCGCGUAAAGCGCGCGUACGUGGCUCGGCACGCCGGUUGUGAAAGCCCCGGGCUCAACCUGGGAACGGCAUCCGGAACGGCCAGGCUAGAGUGGAUGAGAGGAAGGUAGAAUUCCCGGUGUAGCGGUGAAAUGCGUAGAGAUCGAGAGGAAUUCCAGUGGCCAAGGCGGCCUU